GUGCUGGCUUCAGCAGCACAUAAAAUUAAAAUGAUACAGAGACAGAGACGAUUAACAUGGCCCUUGUGUUAGGAUGACAUGCAAAUUCGUGAAGCAUUCCAUAUUUUU
rnacentral:snRNA from 1 species